AUGGAUAAGAACGCUUUUGGAGACAUUGAUAAUUUUCCUGAGGAAGAUAAGAAAAGAAUGUCAAUCAUGGUAGAACAGCUUCAAAUGCGAGAUAAUCUUAGGUUGUACAAUUCAUUAGUCGAGAGAUGUUUCAAGAAUUGUGUCAAUACAUUCUAUCGGAGUUCAUUGAACAAGCUAGAGGAAACAUGUGUCCUCAGAUGUGCUGAAAAAUACCUGAGGCUUUCAACACAGGUCGGCAUUAAAUACUCAGAUAUCUAUCAAGGAGCAUCUACAACAGACAAACAAUAG